AUGGCAGGUCCAGUAACUGAUGCCCAAUUCCAUUUCACUGGUAUUAAAAAAAUAUUUCAAUUCUCAUACUCUCACAGGUAGAAUGAAUUGUGUACUGGCCACAGAUGGAGGUGUUGCUUUGAUGAUCUCAUCCUUCAAGUUAAGGUCUAAAAAAACUCCAGCUGUGAAAGCAACAUGUGGAUUCUAAACUGUCUUGUCUGUCCCUCAUCUGUUAAGUUCCCAUGCCUGGAGAAGCUACUGUCAACUCAUCGUGUGAAACUCAAUUUGUACAAUAAAUUGUGAACCU